UAACCUGCCUUGGAGUGGGGAAUAACACAUCGAAAGAUGUGCUAAUACCGCAUGAUGCAGUUGGGCCGCAUGGCUCUGACUGCCAAAGAUUUAUCACUCUGAGAUGGACUCGCGUCUGAUUAGCUGGUUGGCGGGGUAACGGCCCACCAAGGCGACGAUCAGUAGCCGGACUGAGAGGUUGACCGGCCACAUUGGGACUGAGACACGGCCCAGACUCCUACGGAAGGCAGCAG
rnacentral:rRNA from 1 species